UGCACCACACUUACGGGUGGCAGCAGUCGAGAAUCUUCGGCAAUGGGCGAAAGCCUGACCGAGCGACGCCGCGUGUGGGAUGAAGGCCUUCGGGUUGUAAACCGCUGUCAGAGGGGAGGAAUGGGCGGAGGGUAAUCUCUUCGUUUUGACCUAUCCUCAGAGGAAGUACGGGCUAAGUUCGUGCCAGCAGCCGCGGUAAGACGAACCGUACAAACGUUAUUCGGAAUCACUGGGCUUAAAGGGUGCGUAGGCGGCGCUGUAAGUUGGGUGUGAAAUCCCUCGGCUCAACCGAGGAACUGCGCCCAAAACUACAGUGCUUGAGGGAGAUAGAGGUGAGCGGAACUUAGGGUGGAGCGGUGAAAUGCGUUGAUAUCCUAAGGAACGCCA
rnacentral:rRNA from 1 species